rnacentral:rRNA from 1 species
AGAACGAACGCUGGCGGCAGGCCUAACACAUGCAAGUCGAACGCUCGUAGCAAUACGGGAGUGGCAGACGGGUGAGUAACGCGUGGGAACGUACCCUUCGGUUCGGAAUAACCCGGGGAAACUCGGGCUAAUGCCGGAUACGUCCGCAAGGAGAAAGAUUUAUCGCCGAAGGAUCGGCCCGCGUCGGAUUAGCUAGUUGGUGAGGUAACGGCCCACAAGGCGACGAUCCGUAGCUGGUCUGAGAGGAUGAUCAGCCACACUGGGACUGAGACACGGCCCAGACUCCUACGGGAGGCAGCAGUGGGGAAUAUUGGACAAUGGGCGAAAGCCUGAUCCAGCCAUGCCGCGUGAGUGAAGAAGGCCUUAAGGGUUGUAAAGCUCUUUCAGCGGGAAGAUAAUGACGGUACCCGCAGAAGAAGUCCGGCUAACUUCGCGCCAGCAGCCGC